CUGGCAAAUGGAUUUUACAUACAAUAUGUUAUUUGGAGUCCAAUGUAUCUUACCAUGCUGUUUCAUAUGUAAAAAGCUACAUGGUUGACUGAUGAAAUUUUAUUUACUCUGAGCUGCUGGUCCCUCUGAAUGUGUAGCUAAUUGUGCAUAGGCCAGUCCUGCGCCUUGCUCCUAACGAUUUGUGCUCUUGACAGCCCCAUGCUGCCAUCAUUCUCUGUUAUUCGGUAACAAUGAGCACAGAAGAGUGUUUUACCCAUUAGCUCAAUGGGAUUCAGUCAGUCUCUGAGGUUUCAUAUCCUGGACUUUUCUUUUUACUACAUGAAAGCAUUGCAUGUUGCUGAAUGUUUCUGUACCACCCCAGAAGCAUUCCACUCCAUGCAGUAUUAAACCCAUCAUGAGUGAAAUUAAACUCUUCCAAAAAUUGAAAGCCAUCAUCCAGGGCUCCUCCAGAUGUACCGUGUUCUGCAUGUACCAUGGAGUGGAAAGAUAUGUCAACACACUAAGGAGUGAGAAUUAUUUGAAUUCUGGAUUGGCUGACUUGCAUCGAUGCCUUUUGUUUUGUGAUCUUCAAAUGCAGGAGAGGAAGAUAUUUCCCUUCAGUGCUUCAACAACUCCUAUGCAAGAUGAGCAUGCAAAGAACUUCUGA
rnacentral:lncRNA from 1 species